rnacentral:rRNA from 1 species
AAUGAACGCUGGCGGCGUGCCUAACACAUGCAAGUCGAACGGCAGCACAGAAGAGCUUGCUCUUUGGGUGGCGAGUGGCGGACGGGUGAGUAACACGUAGGAAUCUACCCAGUAGUGGGGGAUAACCUGGGGGAAACCCCAGGCUAAUACCGCAUACGCCCUGAGGGGGAAAGCGGGGGAUCUUCGGACCUCGCGCUAUUGGAUGAGCCUGCGUCGGAUUAGCUAGUUGUGGGGUAAGGGCUCACCAAGGCGACGAUCCGUAGCUGGUCUGAGAGGAUGACCAGUCACACCGGAACUGAGACACGGUCCGGACUCCUACGGGAGGCAGCAGUGGGGAAUAUUGGACAAUGGGCGCAAGCCUGAUCCAGCCAUGCCGCGUGGGUGAAGAAGGCC